rnacentral:rRNA from 1 species
CUCCUUUGACGUUAGCGGCGGACGGGUGAGUAACACGUGGGUAACCUACCUAUAAGACUGGGAUAACUUCGGGAAACCGGAGCUAAUACCGGAUAAUAUUUCGAACCGCAUGGUUCGAUAGUGAAAGGUGGUUUUGCUAUCACUUAUACCGAUGGACCCGCGCCGUAUUAGCUAGUUGGUAAGGUAACGGCUUACCAAGGCGACGAUACGUAGCCGACCUGAGAGGGUGAUCGGCCACACUGGAACUGAGACACGGUCCAGACUCCUACGGGAGGCAGCAGCG